AUACGGAGGGUGCAAGCGUUACUCGGAAUCACUGGGCGUAAAGCGCGCGCGGGCGGCUAUUUAAGUUGGAUGUGAAAGCCUACGGCUCAACCGUAGAACUGCAUCCAAAACUAUUUAGCUAGAGUGUGGGAGAGGAAGAUGGAAUUAGUUGUGUAGGGGUAAAAUCCGUAGAGAUAACUAGGAAUACCAAAAGCGAAGGCAAUCUUCUGGAACACUACUGACGCUGAGGCGCGAAAGCGUGGGGAGCAAACAGGAUUAGAAACCCCGGUAGUCC
rnacentral:rRNA from 1 species